CGGCACGUAGCGCAGCCUGGUAGCGCAUCGUCAUGGGGGUGGCGAGGGUCGAGAGUUCAAAUCUCUCCGUGCCGACCA
rnacentral:tRNA from 1 species